rnacentral:tRNA from 1 species
GUUGGUAUCGAUUAGGGGUUAAAUCACUUCGUUGUGGAAUUCAGCUCCGAAGAGCCGCUGGUUCGAUUCCAGCUACCGACA